AUAAGUAGUCAAUGAUAUAAUUGA
rnacentral:siRNA from 1 species